rnacentral:rRNA from 1 species
CCGGACGCACGGGUGAGUAACACGUGAGUGACCUGCCUUUUAGACUGGAACAACUUACCGAAAGGUGAGCUAACGCCGGAUGAGUUAUAUAAGUGCAUGUUUAUAUAGGAAAAGUUGGGGAGACCUGACGCUGAAAGAUGGACUCGCGUCCCAUUAGCUAGUUGGUAGGGUAAUGGCCUACCAAGGCGACGAUGGGUAGCCGGCCUGAGAGGGUGGCCGGCCACACUGGGACUGAGACACGGCCCAGACUCCUACGGAAGGCAGCAG